rfam:Listeria floridensis FSL S10-1187 c7, whole genome shotgun sequence.
AUGCUGUCUAAAAACUAGCAGUACAUAAUCAGGUUUUGUCAAGCAAGUGUUUUAUAGGGAAUGAAUGAUGGCGCAUUCAUUUUCUAAUCCUAAUUUUUCCUACGAAAGGACGAUGUACACAAUGGCUUCUAAAACGAAGAAGGCAAUUAUUGAUGUGAAAAAGCAAUUUGAUGCGGUUUCAGAACAGUUUGAAAUGGUUCAAAUUUUAAAUGAAAAAGGAGAAGUUGUGAAUCCUGACAUUAUGCCGGACAUCACU